rnacentral:rRNA from 1 species
UACGUAGGGGGCUAGCGUUGUCCGGAUUUAUUGGGCGUAAAGAGCGUGUAGGCGGCCAAGUAGGUCCGGUGUGAAAACUCGAGGCUCAACCUCGAGACGUCGGUUGAAACCACUUGGCUAGAGUCCGGAAGAGGAGAGUGGAAUUCCCGGUGUAGCGGUGAAAUGCGCAGAUAUCGGGAAGAACACCUAUGGCGAAGGCAGCUCUCUGGGACGGUACUGACGCUGAGACGCGAAAGCGUGGGGAGCGAACAGG